CUUCGCAUACUGCAUACAUUUAAAUUUUGGACUAUAAUAAUAUUGCACUGUGUUCGUUGGUAUAAAAUGUCAAAGAGUAUACACUGUUGUUUCUAUGAACGUUUCGUUUUGAUUGUGGUGGCUACAUGCUGUAUUAAAUGCGUCACAGGACAAACUAGGAAUAAUGACGUCGUGCAUGACGUAACUGUCAAGGAAACAGAACCCGUAGGUCACGUGAUAGCCAAUCUCACCUUAAGCGGAAAUUGCAACGUGACGCCAUACACACCCAGUCGUUCAGAUCGCUAUUUCAGCAUGAUUGAAAGCGUGCUUACACUUAAAGAAGAGUUGGAUUUAGACGCUGGCCUCCAA